UUUUAUGGAGAGUUUGAUCCUGGCUCAGGAUGAACGCUGGCGGCGUGCCUAAUACAUGCAAGUCGAGCGAACAGACGAGGAGCUUGCUUCUCUGACGUUAGCGGCGGAC
rnacentral:rRNA from 1 species